rnacentral:miRNA from 1 species
AGUGGCGUAGCCAGCCUGAGUAUUUGCUCCUGCUAUGCAAAUAUUUGUGUGUUCAUAGACUGUAAAAAUAAUGUCAAUGAAUUUCUAAAGAAAUGAAUAAUGAUAAUGCUUUGAAAUUUACAUAGCAGGAGUAAAUUUUCAGGCUGGCUACGCUACU